GUAGACUCAACAGAGAGAUCACAGCCUUCUUUAGACUUGCUGUAGCUCAGAGUUAUUAACACUGCAGAUAUGAUGCCUCUGUUUAUCUCAGUGUUGCUGGCUGCUGUGUGUCUUGAAUGCAGAGGACAAAAAGACAACGUGCUGCAACCAGAAGGAGAUGUGACUGCUCCUGAAGGAGAUCCAGUCACACUGAGCUGUCAAUUUACCAGCAGUUCAACAAGUAAUUAUCUCUUCUGGUACAAACAGGAGGGAAACAACAGCCCCACAUUCAUCCUGAGUCGCGUCAGAGGAGAUGAAGGAAACACACCAGAUGAGUUUAAGAAGAGAUUUUCCUCCACACUGAAUUCCUCGUCCUACUCAGGAUCAGUUCCUCUGAAGAUCCAGAAGCUUCAGCUGACUGACUCUGCUGUGUACUACUGUGCUCUGAGGCCCACAGUGACAGGAAACACCAACACUCUGUACAAAAACCUUUGGAGCAAACACAACACAAUACUCCACAACAUCCACUAGAGGGAGACAUCAUCAAGCAGGUGUUGCUCUUCCUCUGUGUUCAACCAUCCUGACAAUAAAAAGGCUGCUGUGAAGAGAACAGUGGUUCUCAAAGUGGGGUCCUGGGACCCCUGGGGGUCCUUGAACCAUAGC